UCCCAUCGAAUCCUUCACAAUUAUUUACGAUAGACGUCAGUAUACAUGGGAUCGUCCUCGCGAUAUGGCGGAUCGACGGAUUGUCGCUGUAAAUGAGGUAUGAAAGUGUAGUGGUAGAACGUUUUACCGCGUAAAAGGACGCCAUUGCUUUCGAUUAUCGAAAUCGUUUAGAUAGUAUCGAUUUUUUUGCGAGAGUGAUACCGGGUAUACUCGUUUGGAACAGUAAACGUUAGUUUUUUAAAAUAUGCGGGCGUGGCAGCGCGAGAACAAUGUGGUUAUAGGAAAAUUAGAAUUUUUUAUAAUUAUAGUCCUUUAUUGAAUUGUGUUUUAUUCGCGUAUAACGUGAUUAUAGAGUCAGUGCGUGUUAGAAUAUAAAAUUUGCUUAGAGUAUACAAAAACAUAAAGUCAAAGAUAUUACGCAGUUCCAGUUUCCCGAUACAAGGCCGUUUUUGUUUGCAUUUCUGUUUCUAAUUGAAAGUGACUGUAUUUUGAACACGAUAUCUCGGUCGCGUUAGCUUUUUUUCGUCUUAUGGUGUCUGUGUUGCUAUUCGAGUGAGUGAAAAUUACCACGACCAAGAAUAUUCUCGACGAUUUGGACGACAAUAAAAAUGCAUCUUUGGGUAUGAUACAACAAAUGUAGAACCGGAAGUGAUACCAGGAAAUUCCGGAUAUUCAACGAUCGCUUCUUCCGCUAUUAAAAGGAAAGUUUUAUGCGUGAUCCUGCGUAAGUUCACAGACAGGAAAGCGUAUAAACGCGACAAGAACAGCGCCGAGCGUUUAUACAGGAGAAACUACAGCGCCCUCCAAAACAAAGGCCGUUAUGAGAUACCGGUAUGCCGGCCGAUCCAGACACAGGCAGCUUCUGUUUUCGGCAAUGAGGAUGUCAGACAAGUUACGACACGGCCAGCAGGUGUUACGACCGGACAGCCAGUUCAGGAGGCCCAGUUACAUUGCUACCAUCGCGGGAGGACGCGUGACGACGAUCGAAUCAAGAAGAAACGUCGCUGUUAUCUUUUUAGAAGCACGAUUUCAAUUUUUAGCAAUUUUAUUUACUUCGGUCGAAGUUGUUCUACUAUUUGGACAGUUGGAAUAGUAAAUCGAAACUCGAACAGUGCCAGGGUGUACGGAGGCUCGCGACUACCAAGUGCAUUCUGAUACGCGAGGGAAGGUGGAGGAGGCGGCGGAAUGGCUAGGAUCUCUCUGCGGUCUGCUACAUCUAUUUAUAGCGUACGCCAUGCUAAUGCAUGUGCGCCUAUGCACCACGCUAACACCACGUCCCAAGCAUAACGGGCUUUUACAUGCUGCACUGGAUAUUCCACGUGGAAUCCCCUCCUACGUCGCAGCGCUGCCCCUUUCUCCAAGGAUCGCCUGUUUCUCGUGGGCUCCGCCGCCGUUGUCCGCGGAGGUCUCAUCCCGGCCAUACACGCGUGCGAACGCACGUGCGCCUGUCUCGAAGAGGAACGCACCCAGAGAGCCCGCGUUCUUCGAGAUUUAUGCACGGGCGCAGGUCCCCCUGUGUAAAAGACGAGCUCGCGCGCGCGUAGGCUUUUCCGGUCACACUGCGGUCAACCUGACUCUUAAAAUGCUGUUGAACUCGAUUUUUAUUGAUCCUCUUCACUUCGUCCAGUUCCAAGUAUUCUUUUACACGUGGCGAAAUAGAGCUGUGCCUGAGAGGCCUCUUGCACGAUAAUUUACCGAAUAAUUGUAUUUUUGUGAAUCGGGUGAGUGACAAGUCGUAGAUGACGAAGAUUGUUAGGGUUUUACGCGGUUCUUUUUUUUUAUUUUAUAUCGAAUAGUAUUAUAGAAGUAGGAUAGACGUAGAAUAGGUACGUAAUUUCAGUUGAUCUAUCGCUAAACUUGUUACAGUGACAACUUAUUCGCGCCACUUGUAACUUGUGACUUGUACAAUUUUGGUGGUAAUAUCGACCCAAAUAAGUUCAGCAUGAGGGACCAGGCCCGAGGAGUAGUAUCUCCGAAGAUCUCUGAAGAAUAUUACAGCUUUUGGUAUAUAAUGUCGUGGACGAUUGUUUGAAUCAAUGCAACGUAUUUACAUACCUAUUGUACGCUUGGUGAAAAUCAAACACCUGCCAGGAAUUACAUGAGGAAAGGACGAAUUAAUUGA